UCCAUUUUAAUGACUACUCUAAAGAUUUCAGUAUAACUAUGGUAUGUUUGAUAUAUUUAGGAAAUUGCUGGUGGUGGUGGAUUUGGUAUGCAUCUUGCUGUCUAUGAUUCACUGUCAUGCAGGGGGAUGAAUUAUCUUCAUGAAUGACAACUAGAUCCCAUUAUUCGUUGUGAUUUAAAGCCAAAGUUUUAAGUUGAGAAUAAUGACAAACACAGAGCUGAAGGAAUGCCUCUACAGCUGAAGGUUUUGAGUCAAGAAUGUAUCAAGCACGAGUUGUGCAGCAUGCGACCUAGGAAGCAUUGGAUUCCCUUUUUUCUGGAACCCUUGACCAGGUCUUCAGCAGAUUGACUUGAGUUUUUUCAGUUGCAAAUAAUUAGCAACGGCUAAAAAUUGUUGCUAACUUUUGAACAAGAAUAACAAAACCCGGUCCAGCUAAAAGGAGUCGUUCUAAGUUUUCUUGGUUAUAAAUUUCGCAACUGCUCUAGAGCAACUUGGGUGAACCGAGAACUGUUGCGAAAAAACUUUCGCAACGUCUCUGGACCUGCUGCAAAAAAUAUGCAACGCCACGUUUCGCAACGGCUUUUGC